ACCUCUAUCCUUCCUCUCCCCACACCAUAUACCUCUCUAAUAAGAGUUUCUAUAGCUAAUUUGUGCAUCCAAUUGGUUUGCAUGCCACUGUGCUUUGGCUGACAACAAGGCUUUGUUUAUCUGGUGGAUCACAAAGAGCAUUUGAAAGUCUGUCCCAGGAUUUUAGUGUGUUUUGUGUGUGAUAUUUGCAUGCAGAAUAGUUCAUUUUCAAAUUUGUCACAAAAAUGCACUGACAGGGCCUCCCGGGUGGCGCAGUGAUUAAGGGCGCUGUACUGCAGCGCCAGCUGUGCCAUCAGACGCUGGGUUCGUGCCCAGGCUCUGUCGUAACCGGCCGCGACCGGGAGGUCCGUGGGGCGACGCACAAUUGGCCUAGCGUCGUCCGGGUUAGAGAGGGAUUGGUCGGUAGGGAUGUCCUUGUCUCAUCGCGCACCAGCGACUCCUGUGGCGUGCCGGGCGCAGUGUGCGCUAACCAAGGUUGCCAGGUGCACAGUGUUUCCUCCGACACAUUGGUGCGGCUGGCUUCCGGUUGGAUGCGCGCUGUGUUAAGAAGCAGUGCGGCUUGGUUGGGUUGUGUAUCGGAGGACGCAUGACAUUCAACCUUCGUCUCCCCCGAGCCCGUACGGGGGUUGUAGCGAUGAGACAAGAUCGUAGCUACUAAAACAAUUGGAUACCACCAAAUUGGGGAGAAAAAGGGGUAAAAUAAAAAUACACUGCCCGGAUGAAAGGUUUGUUAAAGUGUGGCUUGAUUUAACCAUUUUAUGCGGUAAAAGUGCUGAUUGGUUAAUGGUGAUUGGUCACAUUUGUAAGCUGUUGAUUUAGCUAAAAAAAAAGUAUGCAAUUGCAAGAUACUGGAGGGACUGAUUUGAAACAUUGCUGUAGCAAGGUAAAAGUAUUAUUUAUAUAUUAUAAACUGGGUGGUUCGAGCCCUGAAUGCUGAUUUGGCUGACAGUCGUGGUAUAUCAGACCGUAUACCCCAGGUAUGACAAAACGUGUCCUUUUUUACUGCUCUAACUGUUGGCAUCCUGUCCAAACACGGAGAAACAGUGAAGUAUUUAAAAAGGCUUUUAUUUCCCAAUUUACUGCCAAAUGGUGUUAUUUAAUUCUGUGUUCUCUAAACCCUGGGUCUCUGCAGGUCGGACAGCUCCUUCAGUUACUUCUUCUUUGUGUUCUUCUGCCAAGUGGUGGUGUUCAUUAUCCAGUCUGUGGGCAUCACCAACUUGGGAAACAGUGGUUGGAUCACCUCGUUGUCUGCCAUCACCUCCAACAAGGCGGUGGGAGCCAUCAUGAUGUUGGUGGCCUACUUCUUCACUGCCUGUGCUGUGCUGUCAGUCAUCCUGCUGAGGAUGGUACGUGGCGUUACCGUAACUCCCUGGAAGAAUCUCUAUUGCAUUUCCUUGAUUCCUCACAUCCUCACCACCUCAUCAAAACCCAUCGGAUGAGAAGGUCAGAGGGGAGGAACCUCUGACCUCAUCCAGUUGAUUUUAG
rnacentral:lncRNA from 1 species